UAAUACGUAGGGGGCAAGCGUUGUUCGGAUUUACUGGGCGUAAAGAGCGCGUAGGCGGUUUGGCAAGUCCGAUGUGAAAGCCCCGGGCUCAACCCGGGAUCCGCGUUGGAUACUGCCAGACUUGAGUGCAGGAGAGGAGAGCGGAAUUCCCAGUGUAGCGGUGAAAUGCGUAGAUACUGGGAGGAACACCGGUGGCGAAGGCGGCUCUCUGGACUGCCACUGACGCUGAGGCGCGAAAGCUAGGGGAGCAAACGGGAUUAGAUACCCCGGUAGUCCUAGCCGUAAACGUUGGGCACUAGGUGUGGGAGGUAUCGACCCCUUCCGUGCCGCAGCUAACGCAUUAAGUGCCCCGCCUGGGGAGUACGGCCGCAAGGUUGAAACUUAAAUGAAUUGACGG
rnacentral:rRNA from 1 species